rnacentral:rRNA from 1 species
GACGGAGGCUGCAAGCGUUAUCCGGAAUGAUUGGGCGUAAAGCGUCCGCAGGUGGCAGUUCAAGUCUGCUGUCAAAGACCGGGGCUUAACUUCGGAAAGGCAGUGGAAACUGAACAGCUAGAGUAUGGUAGGGGCAGAGGGAAUUCCUGGUGUAGCGGUGAAAUGCGUAGAUAUCAGGAAGAACAUCGGUGGCGAAGGCGCUCUGCUGGACCAUAACUGACACUCAGGGACGAAAGCUAGGGGAGCGAAUGGG